UUUUAUUAUUUUAUCUUAAUUAUUUUUUAAAAUAUAUAAUUAUUAUUAUUAUUAUUUGUUAUUAUUUUAAAAUUAAGGUUUUAAAGUUGGGCUUUGUUUCCUAUGGGUCCAAUAUCAUUUGGUUUACUCCCCGUGUUAAUUCAUGCAUCAUUUUGUAUUUUAUUUGUUUUAUUAUUAUAUUUUUAUUUUAUAAAUUUAAAUUAAUAGUUAAUUAGGUAUUUAGGUUUUA
rnacentral:lncRNA from 1 species